rfam:Burkholderia glathei PML1(12) contig00199, whole genome shotgun sequence.
GGGAGUUGGCCUCCCGGAGUCGGCUUGCAGGAGCAGGCUCCAAACCGCCCGGUGCUGCUGCGUUCAAAAGGCGUGGUGGUGUUGUGCCAUGAACGUGUUUGCAUUCUUUGAGACACGAUGC